ACUCCCCCCAAGCUCAGGAGCAUAGCUUCUUAAGCGAGCCCAGGUAGUAGUAGUACUACCUGCUCCACUCCCAGCCACCAGACCGUCACCCACCUCCACUCCAUCCGUUCUUGCUUCUCCUGCUCCAAGUACGGCCGCCGCCGCUCACCGGAUCCGAGAAGAACGGCCGAACGAUUCGUCUCCCUGUCGAUUGCUCCAGCAGGGAAAGAGGCGUGAGAUUAGAAGGCAUGUUCCUUUUGUGUUCGCUAUUAUCUGGUGAUUAUUACAGGGAAAGAGGCGUGAGAUUAGGAGGCCUGGAAGAGAUUGACAGAAGAGAGCGAGCACCCGGCGCCGCGGACGGCAUGGAGCGCAUGCCGUCCCCGCCGCGUGCUCGCUCCUCUUUCUGUCAGCCUCUCUCUCGUCCUGACCGGGCCGACGGCCACGCGCAGCGAGGCAGGCGAGACAGACGCCGCCACCACCACCACCAAUACUGGAAGAGGGGGGAUCGGGAACCGUGCCACGCGGAGAUGGACGGCACGCAUGCUGCGCGAGGACGGCUGCUUUUGCAGGCAGCAAGGACAUGUCACCUCAUUAUCUUCUAGAGAUACGCAUAGAUUUCUCAUAUUUUUUGCUCUCGAUCUGAUCCCUUCCGGUCAGGCUGUCGCGGGGCUACUCCCGAGGAAGAGGGUGAGGAUUGGAGGCUGCCGCUGCCGCUGAAUUGCUGAUACUGAUGGCACGGCCACACGGCAUGGAGGCCAGGGAGUUCAAAGAGUACUUGCUUCCCCGCGGCCCCGCCUCGCAGGGAGCGAGCGAGUUUGCGGUAGGUUUUGCAGUACAUUUUUUUGAGGAUUUCCCUCUCCCUCACUCUCCAGACUUGCUGCCUUGGGAGCUGAAUCGGGGAGGUGCUGACAGUACACUGAGGCGCUGUAAGGAUUUAACAGAACAAAAACUGCAGCUGCAUCAUCAUCUCUCUCCCUCUCCCUUUCUCGUGGUGCAGCUCAUCGUCUCCCAUGGGCACUGUAGCCACUACCCAUGCGCUGUUUCUGCUCUUUCUUGCUGAGGCCCCCUCUUCUUGGCCUGGAGUUCUUGGAGUUCUCCUGCGGCCAUGGUGAUGCAGGUGGCUGUGCUGCUGUCGAUCGGAGCUCCUGUUGGCUCAAAAAUGGGGUAUGGAGGGCACCAUGUGAUGAUCCAUAUUUGGCAAAGGCAGUGGACUCACCUUGCUUUUGCCAGAUCUGGUUUGCUUCCUUGUUUGUAUCUCUCUCUACAAUCACACAACUAGUCAGCUACACAAGCCACGCACAUAUAGCCCCUAUAUGGUUGCUGCUGCCCCCCUCCUCGAUCGGCCUUCAUGAUUUUUCAUCUCCUCUCUCUACUCUUAUAUCAUCAUGUCCUCGUCUCUCUACCUCGGUCUCUUAGAGACACGCAGGGAGAGUAGAGAAGAAGCUGCUAAUUUUUACAGGCUCUUGCUAGCUGAUGAAGAUGUUUGGUAUUUGGUAAGAGCCACUGCUCUUUCGUUUCAUUAUUUUCAUGGCUUCAGCGUGUCCUGCUUUACCAUGCAUUAUCUUGUGGUCCUUCAUCAUGGAUGUUCUGUUGACCCAUUCGCUGCUGUUGCUGCUUUCUUCCCUUUUAUUUCUUUCCUUCUUUCAGGAUUUGGGCGUCAUGAAUUAACGGGCCACACAAUUUGCAUAUUUUGCUUAUGACCGAGAUUACAUUGACAAGGUUGUACCAUCUGCAGAUUGAUUUAUUGGAAAGAAAGGCAUUUCUGAAGUUGCAGAUUUAUCUACUUCUCCUCCUACUUUCUUUUUGAGAACAUGAGGAAGCAAGUAUUUCAUUAAAAGGAAAUUGUUUAGAAGCAACCAACGCCAAAUCAAGGCAAACUUGCUUGGCUGAAUUACAUACGGUAUAGCACGCAACCAAGGGCGAACUAUGCAAACACAGCAGAAGGCAACUACUCGCUAGUUGGAUGAAGUAUAAAAUGCAGAAUAGCUAUUGAUUCUUGGCCAUCUGCAUUAGUCGAUGAAAAAACAAAUAUAAUGGCUGCUCGUGCUUUGUAUUGGUGUAUAUAUGAAAUCAGAGAUCUGAGUGGAUGUCUAGUAGUGUUGCCUCUUUGCUGACCACCCUGUUGUCGAUUUUUGCUGGAAGCACUACAGUACUGCUUCAUUGUUGCCACUAUUUACCUCCAUAUUCUGCCAUUAAUAUAAUAUUGCAUACAUGAUUUUUAUUCCUUGUUCCUGAAUAGGCAAAAGGUUGCUUAUAAUCUGGGAGAAAAUACCAUAUAUAUUUCCAUGCUAAGAGAAUGAUCAUUGCAGUAUUGCAAAUAUCUCAGGAACUGCUACAUUCAAUGAAGCUGGCUAUGCAUUCCCAAUGUUGAAGAGGUUGAUUGUUGACGCAACAGGAUACAUGCGCAAUACUUCUAGAGGGAUAGAGAAACGUGAAUUGCUACAGACCAGCCAUCAGGUUGCCAAAUGAAUCUGCCAGCUUCUGAGAGGAACCACAAACAAGAAGCUAAACGGCAGUGGUGAACGUGGAACUGAAUUUUGGAGCGCCAUUGGACACGAAGUGAAGGUCAAAGUUUUGCUACUGGUGAAUCAGUGAAUUGCCAUUAUCUUCUGUUUCAGCCAGAGCAAGGCGUUCAGUGCCCGUCAGCGUGAAUCCAACCACUGAAGGGUCCGAGUCACACAAUUUCGCUUCCUCCUCAUCCCAGAUUGACUAUUCAAGUGUCGCGUUCAGGAUGGUUACCUACUGAACUAUGAAAUGUUGCUGUACGAUCAGUUACAACUUGCGACUGACUUUCAGCCUUGUUGGAGAGAGACAUCGCGCUCCAGAUCAGUUGACGCCUUGAGACUAAACAUUAUUGCAUUUAUUGCAAGGUUCAAACGAGCUGGACGGUUCCCCGCCAAUCCGUCAUUCUGACGACUGGCUGCCUAAAGAAAUUACACGAGUUGUACUAGUUUCUAGCACAGGUGUAGUGAAUGUACUGAGGUACUGGUGCUGGUACUGUACAUGAUCAUGGAAACCAGAGAGGGUGCUUCACGUCUCGGAACAUUUUUGUCCCUGCAGUGUAAAAAUAUAUCCCAAGUGUCGUUCUUUAUUUCUUGAUCCAUGGUUCCGGGAACUUCGGUAACUA